CUGACAGCAGUAGCGUGCAGGAUGACGGCCCUAUGGGUUGUAAACUGCUUUUAUGUGGGGAUAAAGUGAGCUACGUGUAGUUUAUUGCAGGUACCACAUGAAUAAGGACCGGCUAAUUCCGUGCCAGCAGCCGCGGUAAUACGGAAGGUCCAGGCGUUAUCCGGAUUUAUUGGGUUUAAAGGGAGCGUAGGCCGUGGAUUAAGCGUGUUGUGAAAUGUAGACGCUCAACGUCUGAAUUGCAGCGCGAACUGGUUCACUUGAGUAUGCGCAACGUAGGCGGAAUUCGUCGUGUAGCGGUGAAAUGCUUAGAUAUGACGAAGAACUCCGAUUGCGAAGGCAGCUUACGGGAGCACAACUGACGCUGAAGCUCGAAGGUGCGGGUAUCAAACA
rnacentral:rRNA from 1 species